AUUGCCUCAACUGACAAAAAUCUGGGGCAAAAAAUAAUAAAUGAAACUAGAGGAGAGGCAUUAUUUUUCAGAAUGCCUCAUCAUCUAGAGAAGAACCUUGUCUUCUUCAGGGUAUCAUCACAAACAGGCUACUUUAAAGCAAGAUAUAAAUUUCCAUUUUCACCCACAGGAUACAGCAGCUCCUAUACCUGAUUCCUGUUCCUGCCAAGAAGUGUUUAUCCUCACUUAAUCGUCUCCAAUAAUGUUUAACAAAUGGUCUGGGCUGGACCACCCAGCUGCUGCAAACAACUUUCUCCUAGUUUUUUGAAAACUCCCAACAUCUCUGGCCUUCAUACCAGACCUUGAGGCAUUUCAUCAUCGGAAGUGAAACCAAAAACAGUCUUGUAAAUUUCCUGAAUUUUGAAGGUGGGCUUUCACACACACAGCCCCUUGACAAGGAGUGGAAGACAAAGAAGCAAGGAAGCUUCCUUUCUUCUGGGAAUAACACCCAUAGGGAACAUUUUCUCCAUCUUUUUCAGCCAUGGAGUUCUACUAAAGACUUUCAAUCAUAAUACACCACUUCAAGGCAGAGUUGAUUAGCCUGAAGUUGAGCAUGUGACAUCAGGUGGUCCAAUCAAGAGUCCUUAACCGGGAAUUUUCUAUCUGGAAACAAAGAGGGAUACUGGGGUCAUGGAAGGCCAUGGAAGGCCACGGAAGACCUGGCGGGACCAGAAAUAAUUCCAGAUGAACUAUUACCAGAGAGCAUGAAAGUGCAAGACCUUGGAUUGGAUCUUGGGCCAGAAAAGUAACAUUGAGAGGGCAGUUGACAACAUCUGAAGAGGUCUGUAUAUUAGAUAAUAUUACUGUCGCCCAUGUUGAUUUCCCAGAUAUUGGUAACGAUACUGUGCUUAUAUCGCAGAAUGUCCUUGCUUUGGGGAAACACACAGUGAAAUGAUUAGCAGUAAGAGAAAAUCAUUUCUGGAACAGAAAAGAAACAUGAAUGUUAACACACAGACACACACAGGCCCACACAUACAUACUCACACAUGAAAAGACCUUGCAUCUAUUAUCCCUGUCUUUGAAGGCUCCUAAAACAAUUAACAACACCAAUUUAAUCUCCAACUUACAGUCCUUAAAUGUGGCAAGUGAAGAAACAGAGCCAGGACAAUCUUCCUAAAAGCAAGAAAAAAGAU